rnacentral:rRNA from 1 species
UACGUAGGGGGCUAGCGUUGUUCGGAAUUACUGGGCGUAAAGAGCGUGUAGGCGGCUAUACAGGUCCGUUGUGAAAACUCGAGGCUCAACCUCGAGACGCCGAUGGAAACCGUAUGGCUAGAGUCCGGUAGGGGAGUGUGGAAUUCCCGGUGUAGCGGUGAAAUGCGCAGAGAUCGGGAGGAACACCCGUAGCGAAGGCGGCACUCUGGGCCGGUACUGACGCUGAGGAGCGAAAGCGUGGGGAGCAAACAGG